rnacentral:lncRNA from 1 species
GGCCACGUCUACGCGCCUGCGCCUGGCCGCCCGUCGCCCUAUGCCCCCGCCUCCGCACAUGCCGGUCGCCGUCCGCCGACUGCGCCUGCGCCCGGCCCGGUCGUCACCCCGCCCAGGCCCGAAGCUUGCUCGCUGCUCGCCCAGCGAUGGUGAGUGUUGUCUCACUCUCUUUGACUCUCUCUCUCUGUAAUCUGAUACUAGUACUCUGUACUCACUACUCUAGUUUGCUCAUGUGCAAAUAUAAAUUAUUUGCUAAGUUACCACAUCUGAAAAUUUACUUGUUAUUACAGAAUUUGUAAUGGGCUAUUUAGCCUUUUUUAUUUGGAUAAAACAUGCAUAGGAAAGAAGAUAUUUUUAUGGAUGUUGUAAGAUGUUAAUUUUAUAUUUUUAACUAGUGUAAAAUUUACAAAACGUGUUAGUUAUUGAUAUUAUACUUUUUUUAUGUAUAAUCGAUUAAUCUGUCAUUAGUAGUGAGAAUUGUGGUGAGUUUUUGCAAUCAUGCAGUGCAAGAGGGAGAAGAACUAGACCACCAGCUAACUGAACUAGGAGUUACUGAUACUGAUAUAGAUAGGUUGUCUGCUUUCUUAAGCAAACAAAAUCAUAUACUGUAAAAAUAUGUAAAUAUAAUCUAUACAGGACAUAUUCAUACCAGUCACUUUACAUGUAUCGAACUAUACUUCGUGUGAAUCUAUUACAUUUAGCAAAACAACAUUAUUCUUCUCACGUUGCAGUUGCAGGAUGCUUGUCUAUGAGUCUAGCAUGGUGCAAUGAGUCCGCAUGGUGUUCUUACAUUUUCGGGUUGCUACUCUUGGAAGCAAUCACCAGAAGAGAUGAACUAUUGUUUGAAUUCUGUUAUAUUUUGAUUGUAUCUGUUAUUAAUUGAAUCCGGAAUAGUAUAUGUUAUUAGGUUUGAAUCUGAGAAGUAUGAGAAAUUGGAUUGUGUUUGGUGGGCUCAAAUUUAAUGGGCGAUAAAAUAGGGCAAUUCUGAAAUAGGCCUAUUUUAAAAUGGGCUAGUUCUAAAAAGAUAUU